GACGAACGCUGGCGGCGUGCUUAACACAUGCAAGUCGAACGGAAAGGCCCUGCUUGCAGGGUACUCGAGUGGCGAACGGGUGAGUAACACGUGGGUGAUCUGCCCUGCACUUCGGGAUAAGCCUGGGAAACUGGGUCUAAUACCGGAUAGGAGCCAUUUUUAGUGUGAUGGUUGGAAAGUUUUUUCGGUGUAGGGUGAGCUCGCGGCCUAUCAGCUUGUUGGUGGGGUAAUGGCCUACCAAGGCGGCGACGGGUAGCCGGCCUGAGAGGGUGGACGGCCACAUUGGGACUGAGGUACGGCCCAGACUCCUACGGGAGGCAGCAGUGGGGAAUAUUGCACAAUGGGCGCAAGCCUGAUGCAGCGACGCCGCGUGGGGGAUGACGGCCUUCGGGUUGUAAACUCCUUUCGCUAGGGACGAAGCUUUUUGUGACGGUACCUAGAGAAGAAGCACCGGCUAACUACGUG
rnacentral:rRNA from 1 species